AGUCCAAUGGUUAAGACUCUGCACUUCAAAUGCAGGGUGAGCGGGUUUGAUCCCUGC
rnacentral:tRNA from 1 species